AGUUCUGAUACCCCUUGUUUAAGUUGAGGAGUUUGGUCACAUUCUUUUGUUUACCUUGAUCAUAUGCUAAUUUGUUACUGGAGGAUUUUUGUACAACCUACAUAAUUAAUCUACUCUUGUUUGUUGCAGAUUUAUUCCACAAUGACACACUCCUUUCUGGGUGGCAACUGGCAAGUUACAGUACCAAGCCUGGCAAGCCACACAUAUCUUUGGAAACUGAACAUACUGUAUUUUAAUACAUGCUUCCAAAAAUUAUGUCACCUUGGCGAGUCUCAUUUUCACGAUUGAGACAUUGGACUUUAACUCAUGCCACAUACAUGAAAAUGAGGCUCCUGUGACAAGGUGAAAUACAUUCCGGAAGCCGGAAGGGUGUAUUUGACUUUUUUGAAAAAUUAUUGGCAGUAAAAAAUUUAAAAAAACAAAAAUGUAUAAUUUUAAUUGCUAUAAAACUUAUUUACACUUCAAUAAAGUUAUCAUAAUCAUAUAAUUAUUUAUGUUGUUAUGCAUGGUAUUAUAAUUAACUAAUUCAUUUUGUUGUUCUGCAUGUUUUUCUGCAUGUUGAUGCCUCAGUGCCAUCUCUUGUGUAUAUUAAACAUAUAAUUUCUGCAAAAUAAAAGAUGACAUUAUUAUCAUGAUACAUUAUACAUCUUUACAUCACAAAAAUAUCAUAUACACAUAUGUUAACCCUUCACAAGUGGCAAUGUGUCUUGAUAUGCCUUACUGUAUUAUUUUAAUCUACCUAACACCAGACAAUUUUACUAGUCAAGGGGAGAGUGCAAUUACAUGAUCUGUUUUUACCAACGACCAUUGAUCUGAGCUUCAAAAUUAAGUGUCAUGUUUCAAUAUUCAGCAAUGCAAUUACAUUCCUAACUGCUAAAAUAUGUCAAACUUAACUAUUAUGAGCAAAUUUCAUCAUAAUUUCUCACAGGCCGUGUCAUGGCCAAUUGGACAUCACUACUCCCAAUGUUAGAAAUCAUGGGCGGAUUUACUUGGGGGGGGGGGGGUUAAACCCCUCUAAUAAAGUGUUCAACUCCACCAAAAAUUCUGCUUCAACCCUCCUAUUUUGUGCGAAAGGCUUUAACCCAAACGCCUAACCCCUGCCAAAGCUCACUGAGUGGUGCCGCUUGCACCCCACCAGAAAUUUUUCUACCCCUCCUUUUAAAUAAAUGAAAAUCCGCCCUAAUUGUUAGAAAUGUUGUAGCAUUCCAAAUUUACCUCAUGAUUAGUGUAUCAGUGACUCACUUAAAUCCCGGCAGCUUGUGGGCAACAUUUUUGUUCUUGCCAUGUAACUAUGACAUCAUACUGUGUAAAACUAUAUAGUUUUAUAUAGUUCUGAACAGACAAUGGCAAAAUGAUAUCUAUUUUUAGUAAAAUUAUGAGUAAA